ACUGAGGUUUGCCUACCCCCCAAUCCAUAUUGUCUGAUCAGUUUUUAUGGGUUAAAGGAUAAUGACUGUGUGCCGAUUUUGCUGUUUGUCUUCCCUCCUGAUCUUAUUGUAAAUCAAUUUUUUUCUGUUGUAGGUGGUUGAAGAUGGAUAUUAAUUUUUUUCUUUCCAGAUUUUAAAACCUACAGAGAAAAAGAAGCCCAAUGCAAGCCGACCAGUAACGCCACCACGAGGCAUGAUUACGAAACAGGCGUAAAAAUGAGGGUCUCUUGGCCUGCUUGGACUUGUAUUAUAGUAUAUAAUCAUUUUUUUUAUUUUAAAUUGUGUAACUUGUACUGGUCUGUUCCAUCUAGAUGUUGGCGACUUUUUUUUCCUCAUUUCAAGAAAUGUAUUUGCUACAAUGCUUACUAUUUUCUGUUCUUUACUUUUAAUCUGAAAUUCAAACUUAUUCUGUUGCUUCAAUAUGGUUUAUUUUAUGCCAGUGUUACUGUACACUCCGAUCUUUAUCUUCAUUAUUCAUGUAGCUUUGUACAAUUCACAUUAUUUGUAAAUGCUUGUUUACUACUUUAGUACUUAAAGAUGGCACUUGCGUGCUGGUCAGACUAGGAAUGUCACAGCUAUAAUUUGCAUCCUGUUUAUACAAACCACUGUGAACUUUUUCCUGUUUGUUUUCUUUUUUAAAGGGAUUUUCUUUUACCAUCAGGUCCACAUAUGUAUAGCUAUUAAUAUUAGAAAGAUCCCCCUCUACUUUACCAUCACUGGUUUGAUGUACAUUUAAGUAAAGCACAUUUUCUGUACUGUAUUCUUUAACUGAAAUUAAAGCCAUUAUUUUAACUGUU